GCAAGUCGAGCGGAAACGAGAAUAGCUUGCUAAUUUGCUGACGAGUGGCGCACGGGUGCGUAACGCGUAUACAAUCUACCUUUUACAGGGGGAUAGCCCAGAGAAAUUUGGAUUAAUACCUCAUAGUAUAUAGACUUGGCAUCAAGAUUAUAUUAAAGAUUUAUCGGUAAAAGAUGAGUAUGCGUUCUAUUAGCUAGAUGGUAAGGUAACGGCUUACCAUGGCGACGAUAGAUAGGGGCCCUGAGAGGGGGAUC
rnacentral:rRNA from 1 species